GAAAUACCGUCAGAAAUAGGAAACUUAACAGAGCUUAACCAGCUCAUUCUUUACUUGAAUUAUUUCUCUGGUUCAAUUCCGUCUGAGAUUUGGAGGCUUAAGAAUAUUGUGUAUCUUGACCUGAGGGAUAACUUGUUGACCGGUGAUGUUCCUGAAGCGAUCUGCAAAACUAUAUCUUUGGAAUUAGUAGGAUUUGAAAACAACAACUUAACCGGAACGAUGCCAGAAUGCUUAGGAGAUUUGGUUCAUCUCCAAAUCUUUAUAGCAGGCUUGAACCGGUUUAGUGGUUCGAUUCCCAUAUCAAUUGGUAAUUUGGUUAAUCUGACGGAUUUUAGCCUGGAUAGUAACCAGUUAACCGGUAAAAUACCGAGAGAGAUAGGAAAUCUCUCGAACUUACAAGCUCUAGUUUUAGCUGAAAACUUGUUGGAAGGAGAGAUACCAGCUGAGAUCGGAAACUGCACGAGCUUGAACCAACUUGAGCUGUAUGGUAAC
rnacentral:lncRNA from 1 species